rnacentral:lncRNA from 1 species
UUUUCGCAUGGCUAUAUACAUUAACCAAAAUAUUCUUCCGCCACUAGUCUAUUUUAUACAUGCCAUAAGACAAUCCGAAACAUAGCAGUACCAAACAGUGGAUAGUGAUAGUGUGACUAGUUGCUGACGAUCCCCGAGCCUGUAGCUUCGCAAUGAGAUCUAUAAAACAGAGGAAACAGAGUAAACGGAGUAAGCAUUACAAUGCUUAGUAAGUUUUAAGCAGUGUCAACAGAUAACAAUCAAAUUAUAACAUAGUUGUUCGUAUUUUUAUUUCACUCUUCCUUCGGGCAUACCAUCCCUUUACCGAAUCUGCACAUCUCAUCAUAUACAAUAGGCAGAUAAACUUUCACAUAAAAGUGAGCUCAUGUGACAUAGAUAUAUCGUAUGAUUUCACAUCACCUCUCACACUGAUCCGAUGUCACAUAAUCAUAGGAAUAGUCUCAUAGAUUGCUUUCGUAUGCAUCACAUAACUACCUUAUGAUUUAGUGCAAAUCAAGCUCACAUAUAAACUUGAAGUACAUACCUGUUUAACCUUUCGCAUUGAAUAUAUUUAUAAGCAAUUCUUAUUACGAAGUCUUACCCGGACAUAAUCUCCACACGAAGUUAUCGGGUCUUAUCCGGACAAAAUCCCCACACGUAGUCAUCGGGUCUUUAGAGCUCGGAUAUAGUACAAGCACGAAGCUUAAGGACAUUAAUCAGUGAUAAUAUUCUCGCAUAAAGCCUGCGGGGUUUUAACCCGGAUAUAGUACUGACACAAAUGCCUUUCGGGACUUAUCACAUUUAUGCACUUUCACAUCCAUUACGUUGGCCACUCGGCCCUGUCACAUAUAUACACUUUCACAUUCAUUACAUCGGCCAUUAGGCCUUAUCACAUAUAUACACUUUCACAUUCAUCGCAUCGGCCAUUAGGCCUUAUCACAUAUAUACACUUUCACAUUCAUCACAUCGGCCAUUAGGCCUUAUUACAUAUAUACACUUUCACAUUCAUCACGUCGGCUAUUAGGCCUUAUCACACAUAUACACUUUCACAUUCAUCACAUCGGCUAUUAGGCCUUAUUACAUAUAUACAUACACUUUCACAUUCAUCACAUCGGCUAUUAGGCCUUAUUACAUAUAUACAUACACUUUCACAUUCAUCACCUCGGCUAUUAGGCCUUAUCACACAUAUACACUUUCACAUUCAUCACGUCGGCUAUUAGGCCUUAUCACACAUAUACACUUUCACAUUUAUCACAUCGGCUAUUAGGCCUUAUUACAUAUAUACAUAUACUUCACAUUCAUCACAUCGGCCAUUAGGCCUUAUCACAUAUAUACAUACACUUUCACAUUCAUCACAUCGGCCAUUAGGCCUUAUCACAUAUACAUACACUUUCACAUUCAUCACAUCGGCUAUUAGGCCUUAUCACACAUAUACACUCUCUUGGCUGAAUCUACAUCUAUCAUUUUCCAAUAUCACAAUUUAGAAUUCACGUAUGGGUUUAAUCGAUAGCUUAUGAGCAACUAGAACAAGUUUAUCAAAGUUUACAACACAAUCUCAAAUUCAGCACAAGCUGUUUUUCCUGAGCAAUAGUCACUAAAUCAUUUAUAACUGGAGCUACAAAACUCCAAAUCACUUUCCGUUAAUUUUUCCUGAAUAUAGACUCGUAUAUCUUCCAUCCAUAAAAUUUCCAGAAUUUUAGGUUUGGCCAAUCAAUACCAGAUUUUUCUUAAAGUUUCCCCUGUUCUACUGUUUGACUAAUCUGACCACUCUUCACUACGAAUCAAAUUUCUCAUUUUACAGAAUUCAAAAUGUGUUGUAUUUGAUUUUAUUUGAAACUAGACUCAUUAAGGAGUUUAAGCAUAUAAAUUUUAUCUUAUAACCAUUUUUGUACAAUUUAUA